UACGAAGGGUGCAAGCGUUACUCGGAAUUACUGGGCGUAAAGCGUGCGUAGGUGGUUUCUUAAGUCUGCUGUGAAAGCCCCGGGCUCAACCUGGGAAUUGCAGUGGAUACUGGGGAGCUAGAGUGCGGUAGAGGGUAGUGGAAUUCCCGGUGUAGCGGUGAAAUGCGUAGAGAUCGGGAGGAACACCAGUGGCGAAGGCGGCUCACUGGCCCGGUACUGACGCUGAGGUGCGAAAGCGUGGGGAGCAAACAGG
rnacentral:rRNA from 1 species